AGUGAACGCUGGCGGUAGGCCUAACACAUGCAAGUCGAACGACAGCACAGUAAGAGCUUGCUCUUACGGGUGUCGCGUGGCGGACGGGUGAGGAAUACAUCGGAAACUACUUUUUCGUGGGGGAUAACGUAGGGAAACUUACGCUAAUACCGCAUACAACCUACGGGUGAAAGCACGGGAUCUUCUGACCUUUCGCGAUUGAAUGAGCCGAUGUCGGAUUAGCUAGAUGGCGGGGUAAAGGAGCACCAAGGCGACAAUCCGUAGCUGGUAUGAGAGGAUGAUUAGCCACCUGGGCACUGAGACUGGGUAGAGACACUGAGGGGAGGAAGCGGUGGGGAAUAUUGGACAAGGGGGGAAUGCGGAAUAUAGCAAUACCGCGUGGGGGAAGAAGGAGUUCUGGUUGUAAAGUGAUGAUGUCGUGAAAGAAAAGAAGCAGUUUAAUACGGGGUUGUAAUGACGGUACCGAAAGAAUAAGCACCGGCUAACUUCGUG
rnacentral:rRNA from 1 species